rnacentral:rRNA from 1 species
CCUACGGGAGGCAGCAGUGAGGAAUAUUGGUCAAUGGACGCGAGUCUGAACCAGCCAAGUAGCGUGAAGGAUGACUGCCCUAUGGGUUGUAAACUUCUUUUAUAUGGGAAUAAAAUGUUCCACGUGUGGGAUUUUGUAUGUACCUUAUGAAUAAGGAUCGGCUAACUCCGUGCCAGCAGCCGCGGUAAUACGGAGGAUCCGAGCGUUAUCCGGAUUUAUUGGGUUUAAAGGGAGCGUAGGUGGAUUGUUAAGUCAGUUGUGAAAGUUUGCGGCUCAACCGUAAAAUUGCAGUUGAAACUGGCAGUCUGGAGUACAGUAGAGGUGGGCGGAAUUCGUGGUGUAGCGGUGAAAUGCUUAGAUAUCACGAAGAACUCCGAUUGCGAAGGCAGCUCACUGGACUGCAACUGACACUGAGGCUCGAAAGUGUGGGUAUCAAACAGGAUUAGAUACCCCUGUAGUC